rnacentral:rRNA from 1 species
AUUGAACGCUGGCGGCAUGCCUUACACAUGCAAGUCGAACGGUAACAGGUCUUCGGAUGCUGACGAGUGGCGAACGGGUGAGUAAUACAUCGGAACGUGCCUAGUAGUGGGGGAUAACUACCCGAAAGAGUGGCUAAUACCGCAUGAGAUCUACGGAUGAAAGCAGGGGAUCGCAAGACCUUGUGCUACUAGAGCGGCCGAUGGCAGAUUAGGUUAGUUGGUGGGAUAAAAGCUUACCAAGCCGACGAUCUGUAGCUGGUCUGAGAGGACGAUCAGCCACACUGGAACUGAAACACGGCCCAGAGUCCGACGGGAGGCAGCAGUGGGGAAUUUUGGACAAUGGGCGCAAGCCUGAUCCAGCAAUGCCGCGUGCAGGAUGAAGGCCUUCGGGUUGUAAACUGCUUUUGUACGGAACGAAAAGCCCCGGGUUAAUACCCUGGGGUCAUGACGGUACCGUAAGAAUAAGCACCGGCUAACUACGUGCCAGCCGCCGCCGUAA